UACGUAGGGUGCGAGCGUUAAUCGGAAUUACUGGGCGUAAAGUGUGCGCAGGCGGCGCCGCAAGUCGAGUGUGAAAUCCCCGAGCUUAACUUGGGAAUUGCGCUCGAAACUACGACGCUGGAGUAUGGCAGAGGAAGGUGGAAUUCCACGUGUAGCGGUGAAAUGCGUAGAGAUGUGGAGGAACACCGAUGGCGAAGGCAGCCUUCUGGGCCAAUACUGACGCUGAGGAGCGAAAGCGUGGGGAGCGAACAGG
rnacentral:rRNA from 1 species